UACAGAGGGGGCAAGCGUUGUUCGGAAUUAUUGGGCGUAAAGCGCGUGUAGGCGGCUUUGCAAGUCGGGUGUGAAAGCCCUCAGCUCAACUGAGGAAGUGCGCCCGAAACUGCAGAGCUUGAGUGCCGGAGAGGGUGGCGGAAUUCCCCAAGUAGAGGUGAAAUUCGUAGAUAUGGGGAGGAACACCGGUGGCGAAGGCGGCCCCCUGGACGGUAACUGACGCUGAGACGCGAAAGCUAGGGGAGCAAACGGG
rnacentral:rRNA from 1 species